rnacentral:rRNA from 1 species
AAAAGCGUAGGUGAUGGCAAGCAGGUUAAUAUUCCUGCACCGACGAGGGUGGCGUUAAAUCGAGCAGGGACGGAGAAGGGUAUGCUGAGCCUGGUGAUUGGAAAUCCAGGUUCAAGCCAGUAGGCAGAGUUCGUAGGACCCGACAGGGACAAACGCGAGCUCAAUGCCGAGAGGUGAUGAGGUAAAGCCUCGGCUUUGUAACUCAGUGAUCCCAUGCUUCCAAGAAAAGCUGCGCGAGGAGCCUCUUCGUUGUCCGUACCGCAAACCGACUCAGGUGGGCGGGGUGAGUAUCCCAAGGCGCGUGAGAGAACACUGGUUAAGGAACUCGGCAAAUUGACACCGUAACUUCGGGAGAAGGUGUGCCCUUUGUUGUGAAGUCCGUACGGAUGGAGCGACGGGGGGUUGCAAAACGGGGGUUGCGACUGUUUACUAAAAACACAGGACUCUGCGAACACGCAAGUGGACGUAUAGGGUCUGACGCCUGCCCGGUGCUGGAAGGUUAAGGGGAGUUGUCAGCGAAAGCGAAGCAGCGAACCGAAGCCCCAGUAAACGGCGGCCGUAACAAUAACGGUCCUAAGGUAGCGAAAUUCCUUGUCGGGUAAGUGCCGACCUGCACGAAUGGCGUAACGACAUCCCCACUGUCUCAACCAGUGACUCAGCGAAAUUGUAAUCGCGGUGAAGAUACCGUGUACCCGCGGCAAGACGGAAAGACCCCAUGAACCUUUACUGCAACUUGACAGUGAAGCUCGGGACAGAUUGCGUAGGAUAGGUGGGAGGCUGCGAAGUCGGGAUUCUGGUCUCGGCGGAGUCAACGUUGAAAUACCACCCUGUUUGUUCUGGGCUUCUAACCCAGGCCUCUAAGCGAGGCCGGGGACACUGUCUGGUGGGCAGUUUGACUGGGGCGGUCGCCUCCUAAAAAGUAACGGAGGCGCGCGAAGGUUCCCUCAGGCUGAUUGGAAACCAGCCGUAGAGUGUAAUGGCACAAGGGAGCUUGACUGUGAGACCGACAGGUCGAGCAGGUGCGAAAGCAGGUCAUAGUGAUCCGGCAGUUCUGCAUGGAAGGGCUGUCGCUCAUCGGACAAAAGGUACUCUGGGGAUAACAGGCUGAUCGCGCCUGAGAGUUCAUAUCGGCGGCGCGUUUGGCACCUCGAUGUCGGCUCAUCGCAUCCUGGGGCUGGAGCAGGUCCCAAGGGUUUGGCUGUUCGCCAAUUAAAGCGGUACGCGAGCUGGGUUUAACGUCGUGAGACAGCUCGGUCCCUAUCUGCCGUGGGCGGAGGAUACUUGAGAGGGUCUAACCAUAGUACGAGAGGACCUGGUUGGACGUACCUCUGGUGAUCCGGUCGUUCCGCCGGGAGCAUCGCCGGGUAGCUAUGUACGGAACGGAUAACCACUGAAAGCAUCUAAGUGGGAAGCCGGCCUCAAGAUGAGGUAUCCCGGGGCGUAAGCCCCCUGAAGGCCCCUCGAAGACUACGAGGUAAUAGGCUGGGUGUGGAAGCGCAGUAAUGCGUGGAGCUAACCAGUACUAAUCGGCCGUGAGGCUUGAUC